rnacentral:rRNA from 1 species
UACGUAGGGUGCGAGCGUUGUCCGGAAUUAUUGGGCGUAAAGGGCUCGUAGGCGGUCUGUCACGUCGGGAGUGAAAACUCAGGGCUUAACCCUGAGCCUGCUUCCGGUACGGGCAGACUAGAGGUAUGCAGGGGGAGAACGGAAUUCCUGGUGUAGCGGUGAAAUGCGCAGAUAUCAGGAGGAACACCGGUGGCGAAGGCGGUUCUCUGGGCAUUACCUGACGCUGAGGAGCGAAAGUGUGGGGGAGCG